rnacentral:rRNA from 1 species
AGUGAACGCUGGCGGUAGGCCUAACACAUGCAAGUCGAACGGCAGCACAGUAAGAGCUUGCUCUUACGGGUGGCGAGUGGCGGACGGGUGAGGAAUACAUCGGAAUCUACUUUUUCGUGGGGGAUAACGUAGGGAAACUUACGCUAAUACCGCAUACGACCUACGGGUGAAAGCAGGGGAUCUUCGGACCUUGCGCGAUUGAAUGAGCCGAUGUCGGAUUAGCUAGUUGGCGGGGUAAAGGCCCACCAAGGCGACGAUCCGUAGCUGGUCUGAGAGGAUGAUCAGCCACACUGGAACUGAGACACGGUCCAGACUCCUACGGGAGGCAGCAGUGGGGAAUAUUGGACAAUGGGCGCAAGCCUGAUCCAGCCAUGCCGCGUGGGUGAAGAAGGCCUUCGGGUUGUAAAGCCCUUUUGUUGGGAAAGAAAAGCAGCAGGUUAAUACCCCGCUGUUCUGACGGUACCCAAAGAAUAAGCACCGGCGAACUUCGU